rnacentral:other from 1 species
UAUCCCCUGCUGUGUUUGUGAUUGGGACAUAAUUUUUGAUCCAACACUUUAAGAAAGGGAGCUUUUCCUUGCUGUCGGAAGGCAGGCCUCGGGUAGCAUAAUGAGAGGAAGUCUGAAGCAGUAACAAAGUGUCCACCUAAAACAUUUAGGUUCAAAAAAGACGUUUCACACGGCACAGCGGGGUAUUU